rnacentral:rRNA from 1 species
UACGUAGGGUGCGAGCGUUAAUCGGAAUUACUGGGCGUAAAGCGUGCGCAGGCGGUUUUGUAAGACAGGGGUGAAAUCCCCGGGCUCAACCUGGGAACUGCGCUUGUGACUGCAAGACUCGAGUACGGCAGAGGGGGGUGGAAUUCCACGUGUAGCAGUGAAAUGCGUAGAGAUGUGGAGGAACACCGAUGGCGAAGGCAGCCCCCUGGGUCGAUACUGACGCUCAUGCACGAAAGCGUGGGGAGCAAACAGG